rnacentral:piRNA from 1 species
CAGGAUGUGAACCACCGGCAAGGAGGGA